rnacentral:rRNA from 1 species
UACGUAGGGGGCUAGCGUUGUCCGGAAUCAUUGGGCGUAAAGCGCGUGUAGGCGGCCCGGUAAGUCCGCUGUGAAAGUCGGGGGCUCAACCCUCGAACGCCGGUGGAUACUGUCGGGCUCGAGUGCGGAAGAGGCGAGUGGAAUUCCUGGUGUAGCGGUGAAAUGCGCAGAUAUCAGGAGGAACACCGAUUGCGAAGGCAGCUCGCUGGGACGUUACUGACGCUGAGACGCGAAAGCGUGGGGAGCAAACAGG